rnacentral:rRNA from 1 species
GUGGGGAAUAUUGGGCAAUGGGGGCAACCCUGACCCAGCAACGCCGCGUGAGGGAAGAAGGUUUUCGGAUUGUAAACCUCUGUCCUAUGGGAAGAAGGAAGUGACGGUACCAUAGGAGGAAGCCCCGGCUAACUACGUGCCAGCAGCCGCGGUAAUACGUAGGGGGCGAGCGUUGUCCGGAAUUACUGGGCGUAAAGGGUGCGCAGGUGGCCUGACAAGUCAGAUGUGAAAUACCGAUGCUUAACGUCGGGGCUGCAUUUGAAACUAUGAGGCUGGAGGGCAGGAGAGGGAAGCGGAAUUCCUAGUGUAGCGGUGAAAUGCAUAGAUAUUAGGAGGAACACCAGUGGCGAAGGCGGCUUUCUGGACUGUAACUGACACUGAGGCACGAAAGCGUGGGGAGCAAACAGGAUUAGAUACCCUGGUAGUCC